GUUGCAUAAACAGUGUAAAAGGUUUAUAACAACUUAAACUGUGUAAAAUGUGUUAACAUGGUUAAAAAUGUACUUGUAAUCAGUUCAUCUGGGAUCGAUUAGUUACAUCUGCAAGGGCAGAAAGGGGGAGCUCUUGGCCGCGGUGCUCCAUUCUGGAUGAGGCUGCCAGAGGGAGACGUGGUGUCCGUCCAUCCUCAUUCAUAUCUUUCCCCUUUUCAGAAAUGUAAGAUAGCAGGCUGCCGUCUGUAGGAGCAGUAAUGGCGCUCGGGAGGAGUGUAGCACGAACUUGUGGUUGUUACACCCGCAUCUACUUUACAUUGGGCCCGAGGAGGAAGCCGCUGAAGCUGCUUAGUGAUGCACCAGUGUGAAACGUGUGCGCUUCACCAGGCUCGAGAUACACAAUGUCUCCCUUCAUCAGUUGCAAUAUUGUGCUGUUUGUGGUACUGCGUUCGUCUUUUGUGGUGGUGUCAAACAUUUGCAUCUUCAAUUCUCUGUUCUUAAACAAAGUUAGAGCAAUGUAUCCUUUGUUUGUAAAGCAGGUCACGGUGAAGAAGUAGACGCCAUUUUCGGGGGCUGUGAAAAUGCCUGCAGGGGGACAAUCACAACUUUAUGCCCCCUCGUGGUGCUGACUUGAGCUAACACGCUAGCAAGAGAACGCCACCUUACUUUUGCCUGUAGUGACACAUCAGAUGCCAGGUCAGAGGUCAACUCCACUAUCACACUACUACACAUGAAUAUACUCUCACCUGCUACUUCAUCCAACUUGUCCACGCGUUUUGUCAGCGCCUGCAGGAGUACAUGUUGUGGGUAAUACUUGCUGUGGGUAAUAUUGUAGUAUUUCCUGUUCAUGUAAAUAUAGUCUCCAUGUGUGUUUCACCUGGACGUCCGUGGUUUUUGCUGCGUCUCUGUCCACGCGUUCUGUCAGAGCCUGCAGGAGUACAUGUGGGUAACACUACCACCUGUCCACGUAAAUAACGUAUGCAUGUGUGUUUCACCUGGACAUCUGUGUUUUUUGCUGCAUCUCCCACCAACUUGUCCAGGCGUUUUGUCAGAGCCUGCAGGAGUACACAUUGUGUGUAAUACUGUAGUACUUAUAAAGUAUCCAUGUGUUUUACCUGAACUUCCAUGGUUUUUGCUGCGCCUCUGUCCACCUUGAUUACGCGUUCUCUCAGAGCCUGCAUAUGGGCAACACUACUACCUCCUGACCGUGUACAUAAUACCGUGUGUGUAUUUACCUGGACGUCCGUGGCUUUUGCUGCGUCUCUCUCCACGUUGACGACACGUUCUGUCAGAGCCUGCAGGAGUACAUUUAUGGGUAACACUAGUACUUCCGGUCUGUUUAAAUGUCUUUUUUACCUGGACAUCAGUGGUUUUUGCUGCGUCUCUCUCCACCUUGUUUACGCGUUCCGUGGUUUUUGCUGCAUCUCUCUCUACGCGUUCUGUCAGAGCCUGCAGGAGUACAGGUUGUGUAACACUACUAUUUCCUGUCCAUGUAUAAAGAAAGUAUCCAUUUUUACCUCAACGUCCGCGGCUUUUGCUGCCUCUCUCUCCACGCCGUCUAUGCGUUCUGUCAGAUCCUGCAGGUGGACAUGUUGUGGGUAACACUAGUACUUCCUGUCUGUAUGUAAAUACGAGGGAUGAGCCGGAUACUUGUUAUCCGUAAUCGUGACGUAAUCGAGUCCUCAUUAUGUAUUCACUCUUAACGCCCUGAUUGGCCAAUCACAACAUCUCAGUUGUCAGUACACUUAACACAACACAUUUAUUUCAAUAGCAACCAAAGAACUUGAUGCCGCUUGCAGGUGACCAACACUGUGUGUUGUGACCCAAUUUAGACCACACAUACACAACCUAGCAACUUCUGAUCAAUCCAUGUCAAUUUCAGACAACCCAUUACCGAGUAAACCACGCCCACUCCACAGAUAGGUAAUUUAGACAGGUGACCAGAUAAAGAUGUACUCGCUCAUCCCCAGUAAAUAUGUGUUUACCUGGACAUCAGUGGUUUUUGCUGCGUCUCUCUCCACCUUGUCCACGCGUUUUGUCAGAGUCUACAGGAGUACAUGUUGCGGGUAAGUAGUACGUCCUGUCCAGAGUUGGGGUGUAACGAUUCCUUUCAGUAACGAUUCGACUCGUAUCACAAUUCGUGGUUGCCGAUAUGAUUCAAGAAGGAUUUUGGUUUAGAACGAUACGAUCCGAAAUGAUUCAGUAACUUUAAAUCAAUUUAGUAAGCAGGAUACUGGACAGUGCAGGUGGAGUUUCCUAGAUUCCCGUUGUUUUUUGUAAGGGGUAUAAAGUAUGAGUAAUGCUGACAUGCUUUAAUACAAAGGAUGGACUGCCACGAAUAAUUUACUUUGUGGUAUCUUCCAUCUUUCUCGCCUGUACGGGCCCAUGGCAGCAAGGGCUUAUUUUGUGUUGGUAAGAGCAGCAAUUUGAAAGCACCGUGCAGCAAUUAGCAAGCAAGUAAGUUAGCAAGUAAUAUAUAACUAACUAUAUAAUAACUAUAUAAACUUCUGUGUGGAGAACACCGUGCCCUCCAAGUUGGUGUGGUGUUUUCCCAACAACAAACCCUGGGUGACCUCUGAGAUUAAGGCCCUGCUGAACAAGAAGAGGGUCUUCAACUCGGGGGACAAGGAGGAGCUGUGCAGAGUCCAGAGGGAACUCCGGCAUAAGAUCAGGAAUGGGAAGGACUGCUACAGGAGGAAACUGGAGAAGCGGCUGGAGCAGAAUAAUGCCAGGGAAGUCUGGAGAGGCCUGCAGACCAUCACAGGCCAUGGUAAAGGAGUGGGGAGAGACCAAGCCAGUGGGGACAAGAUCUGGGCAGAUGAACUCAAUCUGUUUUUCAACAGAUUUGAGUCUGCCCCCCCUCCCUCCCCUACCAACUCACCACUCUUCACCCCCACAUCCCCAUCCCAGCCAUCCUCUACCCCCCUCUCCAUAACUGAUCAGGUGAGGAGUCAACUAAAGAUCAAGGCAAGGAAGGCCCUGGGACCGGACGGCAUCAGCCCAAGAAUCCUCAAGGACUGUGCUGACCAGCUUUGUGGAGUUUUCAGGCACUUGUUCAAUCUCAGCCUGAGCCUGGAGUCCCGGCCCCGUGGAAGACCUCCUGUGUGGUCCCGAUACCAAAGUCACCGCGUCCCAAGAAGCCUAACCACUUCAGGCCUGUUGCCUUGACCUCUCACCUGAUGAAGACCAUGGAGAGGAUUAUCCUGCAGCACCUGCAACCCCUGGUGGGCACUCAGCUGGACCCCUUGCAGUUUGCUUACCGGCCUCGGAUCGGAGUAGACGACGCAGUGAUCUGCCUGCUGCACAGAUCACUGCUACACCUGGAGGACAGCGGGAGAGCUGUGAGGGUCAUGUUUUUUGACUUCUCCAGGCCGUCACUACUCAACCAACACCUAACUGUAUGGGUUAUAGACUACCUCACCAACAGACCACAGUAUGUGAGGCUCCGUCACUGUGUGUGUGACAUAGCGUUGGUAGACAGCUACAAAUUCCUGGGUGUUCACCUUAACAAACUGGACUGGUCUGUCAACACCUACGCCCUCUACAAGAAGGACCAGAGUCGCCUCCACCUGCUGAGGAGACUGAGGUCCUUUGGUGUGUGCAGGACUCUUUUACGGACCACGGACAGGGACAGGAGCAGGAUCAAUAGACUGAUCAGGAGAGCGAGCUCUGUCCUGGACGGUCCUCUGGACUCCGUGGAGGAAGUGGGGGAGAGAAGGAUGUUGGCUAAGCUGAACCCCCUACAUGACACUGUUGGUUCCCUUAGCAGCUCCUUCAGCAGCAGACUGUUACACCCACGGUGUAAGGAGGAGAGGUUCCGCAGGUCCUUCAUACUGACCGCUGUCAGGCUCUACAACACCUGCACCACCUGAACCAUGUUGUAGUCAAUAUGCAUUCUUUACUUGCGUAUCUUGCUUGCUGCUGUAACAAGUGAAUUUCCCCGCUGUGGGAUAAAUAAAGUACAUACUGUACAUACAUAAUGUGGUCUCCUUGUACCUUUUGCCACUGAGAGGGUUGGGAUGCGUCCAGGACACUGAACAGGAUACCGUGGUGUGGUGGGUUUAUGAUACAUUUUGAUAAUCAUGAGACCAAACCGGGAGAGAAAACGUGAUUGCAGAUGGCGUGUAGUAGUGUAAGGAAGUGGUUACACGUGAGUUUAAAUAAGCGACACGCCGCGCUGGAUAAUGUCACGAAGUGCCACUGCUGCGGGACCGGAAAGGUAUAAUGCUUAAAACGUUCUUACUUUGCAUAUUUGGAUAUUUGGACCGGUAAGCUAAGCUAUAAUAUCCAAAGCGUUCUUUGCAUAUUGUCACUUAUUUCAAAUUAAGACAUGAGUUAAAUAUGAAUACUUACUUUUUCGAGUCAAAAUGCAACAAAACACACAUCCAUGUAAAACCUGCUGUGCUUAAAUCCAAUGCUUUAUUUCCUAGUAUCGAUUAAAUCGAUUACCUUUUAGACAAUGUUAGCUCGAUAUAGCUCUCAGGAAUGGAAAUUUGCUGAAGAUCGAUGUAAUAUAAAUCGUUGCAUCGAUGUAGUGAAUGAAUCGUUACACCCAUAAUAAAGUAUCCAUGUUUACCUGGACAUCCGUGGUUUUUGCUGCAUCUCUGUCCACGCGUUCCGUCAGGGCCUGCAGGAGUAACACUACAACUUCCUGUCCAUGUAUAAAUAAUGUACCCAUGUUUUUACCUGGACGUCCGUGGCUUUUGCCGCAUCUGUCUCCACCUUGUCUAAGCGUUCUGUCAGAGUCUGCAGUUACAAUGUUGUGGGUCAUACUGUAGUACUUCCUUUCCAUCCAAGUAUGUAAAUACUAUCCAGUAGUUUUUACCUGGACCUUACUGGCGUUUGCAGCUUCCACACACGUUAUCAGAUUCCUCAGCAUGUCCACAUGCUGCAGGCGUAGGGGUAAACUGUAGUACUUCCUGUACAUGUAGUAAAGUAUCCAUGUGUGCUUUUACCUGGAUGUCCAUGGUUUUUGCUGUCUCCAUCUUGUCCACGCGUUCUGUCAGAGUCUUCAGUCGUACAUGUUAGCAAUACUGUGUACUAAGUCCAUGUAUUUACACUGUCCAUGUAUUUUUUACCUUGACUAUAAGGUUGUUUACUCUUUCUGCGGUGUCUAGCUUGUUCACACGUUUUUCCAGAUUCUGCAGGACAUGUUGGUAAUUAAUUUCUUGUCCGUGCAUGUGAAUAAAGUAUGCAUUGGUGUAUUUACCUUCAUGUUUUCUGCUUUUCCAUCCAGCUUAUUCACUUUUGCCUGAACUUCCCUGUUUGCGGCUUCUGCAGCGUCCGCACGCUGUUGCAGAGUCUGCAGGCGUAAAUUGUCCAGUUUGUCCAAGCGUGCUGUCAGCCCAUCAAGGAGGAUGUACGUAUACGUGUCAGGUUGUACAACUGCUUUCUUUAUAGAUCCCACAACCGAUACUACUUUUCCAUCCAGAUUGUACACUUGUUCUGUCAGAGCCUACAGGCGUACAUGUGGGUAUUACUAGUACUUCCUGUCCAUGUAUGUAAAUUGAAAUGUCCAUGUGCGUUUACCUGGACAUCCGUGUUUUUCGCGGCGUCUCUCUCCACCUUGCCUACAUGUUCUGUCAGAGCCUGGAGUAGUAUAUGUUGUGUAACACUAGUACUUCCGGACCACAGUACUUCCUGUCCAUGUGUGUAUCGUGUUUUUACCUGGACAUCCGUGGUUUUUGCAGAGUCUGCCUCCACCUUGCCUACACGUUCUGUCAGAGUCUGCAGAGCAGCAACACUGUAGUGCUUCCUGUCCGUGUAAUUAUCCAUCUGUUUUUACCUGAAGUUCCGUGAUUUUUGCUCGCUCUCUCUCCAUCUUGCCUACACGUUCUGUCAGAGUCUGCAGAGGAAAUGUUGUGGGUAAUCGUGAGCGCACAUCAUGCAUACACGGCACUUUUUCCCCGGUUCAAACCACAUCACUUGCGGGGGGUUUAAAUAGCAAUAGAAAUACUCGUUAGCGACUGCGUUACUCAGCUCCUAGACAAUUGUCUUUGCAACAUGGUCAAGUGCACAGAGGUCAAAGAGAGCAGGUCAUUUGAGAAGACACAAUUAGAAGCAUAAUUUGCAAAUUUAACGCUGAAGGCAGUGGAAAAAUCCCAAGAAGAACUGUGGACUUGUCAGGUUUGGGCCCAGACUGUACGGCGUGCACUGCGAGAUGACUCCCCUGCUGACUCCUGUAUGCCAAAAUACACGUGCACAAACCACAAAGGUUUUGGGAUACUGUCGAGACAAAAUUGGAACUCUUGGGCCUGUGGAUCGAUAUUUCUGGAGAAGAACAAGUCCUAUAAAAAAAAACCUCGCCUACUGUGAAGCAUGGCGGGGGGUCAGUCAUGCUCUGGGGAUGUUUGCUUCAGGUACAGGGAAUCUCCAGUGUGUGAAAAGUAACAUUAAUUCAAUUCCACAAGAUCUUGUGUGUCCGGGGCGAUGUUUGACCGAACAGGCCCAAAGGUUGGUUGCAGCCAAAGGGCUGGAAGAUUCUGCAGUGGCAGUCGCCUGACUUACUGGAUGUAGAUCGCUUCAAAAAACUACUGUCAAGCUAUGUGUCACAUCUGAAAGACGUUAGUACUGCCAAAGGGUGUCCUAUGGUGUUCUUCGGUCUGAAGUUGUCACAGAAAGGACAUUUGUUGCUAUAUUACAAAAAACACGCUGUGAUUGAAGUUGCAUGUCUAAUUUAAAGUCAUUAUUUGAUCUGAUUAUAAACAAGAUCAAAUAAAUGUCAAAAACUAUGUGACGAUAAACCUCAACCCUGACUUGGCCCGAGUCUGACUCGAUCCCACCACAGUAAUACUGUAAACGGCCUGUGCAUGUAUGGAAAUACAUGCUUUUCAGGUCAGGAUUAAGUCAGAAAAAGCGUCACUGUGUGGGGAUUCUCCAGUGUUGAACUCCGUCUAUCAUAACAGAGGCAUGCUUGCUCUGGUGCGCUUGCGUUUACACAAAAAAAUUUAAUAUCAUUAAUGAAAAAAAUUAGUUACCGCCAUUAACGCAUUAUUUUGACAGUCCAAAUUUAAAUACUUCCUGUCCAUGUGUUUACCUGGAUAUCCGUGGUUGUUGCUGCAUCUCUCUCCACCUUUCCUACACGUUCUAUCAGAGUCUGCAGGAGUACAUGGUUUGUGAAUAACUAGCACUUCCUGUACAUGUGUAUAAAAACUUCCUGUCCCAUUAUUUUUACCUGGACAUCUGUGGUUUUUGCUGCUCUUUCAUUUAGAUUUGUCAAAUUAUCUGUCAGUCUCUGUAGGAGGACAUGUUCUGGGUCACUAUGAUCUAGUGCUUCCUGUCGUGUGUUUGAUAUUUUACCUCAAUGUAUGCCUCCAACAUGCGCACGCGAUCUUCUAGACUCUGCAGGACAACAUGUUGUGGGUAAUACUGUAGUACUUCCUGUCUCAUGUAUGCAAAUAAACUAUGUGUCACCUGAACUUCUUCAUUUUACAGGAUGACACAUUGUGGGUACUUUAGUACACUGUCCCGUGUGUGCAAAUUACCUGAACUUCCUCAGUUUUUGGUCCUUCUGCAGUGUCCUCAUUGUCCACAGGUGUGGGCACAGCCUGCAGCGUUGAUAACGUGUCGGUCAUGAUGUUGAGCAACACAAUGGUUUAGCAAUGUUUAUUCACCGUCGGGUUCUGAUGUUGAUUUGACCCUCAAAUUUUGGUCGCCUCUCCAAAUCUGAACCCUUAAUGAAACUUAUUUUUUUACAUGGGAAAUUUGGACUCUCCACUCUAAUAUAGUAUUUAUCAGCCUUUUACAUGUCAUAUUCGUUGUGAAACUUAUAAACGAAUGACCAGCUUUCUUGUAUAUAAGGUGUUACUAUUGUAACAAUGUCUGUCUCAGAAUAAAGUGCAAGAUAAGCCUCACAGUGGGGGAAACAGCUGUUGUGACCAAACGAGUGACUGUUUUAACGAAGCAAAUACCUCCAGGAUUGUCCGUGUGGAUAACAGCUUUGUGGUGAUGGUCUAAGUUGUACAAUGUAUACAUACAGUGCUGUUGAAUGAAGAUACACUCAACAAUAUAAGCAAUAUAAUAUAAACAAUAUAAUAUAAACUUAACACUUUUUGUUCCCAUUUUUUAAUGAGCUGUAUUGAAAGAUCUGAAACUUUGUACACAAGAGGCCUCUUCUCUUUCAAAUAUUGUUGACAAAUCUGUUAGUAAUGAGGUUGUGAACGAUAAACCAAUGCGACGAGCGAAAGAUGUCCGAUACUGGCUUUUUUGCCGUUAACUGAUAUGCCGGUAUUGUCCAACUGUCAACUAUCAACCAAUACCGACACGAGUAACAUCACAUUUCUUUAAAUGGUUGGAAAGUAACAAUACACUCUGAGUAGAUAAUUCAUGUAUUACAUAUUUUACGUAUUACAUAUUUUAUGUAAUACAUUUGUGUUUCUUUUCCCUUGAUUUACGGUAUUUUUGGAAAAAUUUUAUUUUUAGUUAAAUAUUUGUUUAAAAUACAUGAAUUUGCUGAUUAUAAUUUGGAUUGUUCUUAUUUUAGAUUCUUAUUGUAUUGCAUUAAAACUACUUAUUAAAAACACUAUAUCUUGUGUAUAUAUACAACUAUUUUGCAUAUUUUUUACCUGAAUUUCCUCAGUUUUUGGUCCUUCUGGAUUGUCCCGCUUGUCCACAGGUGUGGGUGGAGCCUGCAGGAUGACAUGUUGUGGGUAGUACUUCAUAUCCAAUGUAUGCAAAUAAAGUCUUUUACCUCAACUUCCCCAGUUUUUGGUCCUCCUGUCGUGUCCUGAUUGUCCACAGGUGUGGGCGGAGCCUGCAGGAGGACAUGAUGUGUGGGCGGAGCCUGCAGGGGACUGUCCGGCUUGUCCACAGGUGUGGACGGAGCCUGCAGAGGACAUGAUGGUAGGCGGCGCCGACACCAUGGGGAUGAAGACGAGUCCAAAGAUGAAGAGCAUGGUGGCCAUCGGAAGGGUCAAGAACUUUUGAGGCUUCUUACCCGGUAUGCCUACCUUGUUCAUGAUGCAAGUACUUGCGUGAUGGGGCCUGCCUAAACUUAAAAUGGUAGAUAGGGAAGUCUAUUCUUGUCAUGGUAGUAUUUUGUCAAAAAAAAUGUUUGUUUUUUUUUAAGUUUGCCGUCCACUAAAAUUGUACAAAAAAUAAUGAAUCAGUUCGCUGAGGUUUUGUUCAUUUGCCUGUGUCAGCAAGAUUCACAUCCGUUUCCGGGUCACGCGAUUGUUGUUAGCAACUGUUGCUCAGCGGUUGUUCCUUGAGCAGUGGAGAGUCAAUUCUUUACCCCACUUAGCCCCCGUCUCGUUCUGAAUCACAUCUCCACAUUUGUUGACUCUCGGCAAGGAAACCUGUUGUAAAUUGAGUAAAUCUUCUGCAUCCCUUUGAAGGAAUCUUUCACGUGAGUACAAUGUUUUCACUUAUUAAUGCUAUAUUUGUGUGUUUUAUCAUUUGCUAUACGUUUGGGUAUAUAGUUAACCUUUGGAAUACUUUAAAUCGUGUUAUGUGCUUACACAUUAGUUGGAUAUCUGCAAAUAGAGUCCCUUGAUAGAGAGUCGAAAAAAUACGGUCACGUGACUCGUGGAGCCAUCUGGGGGCCAAAUUCGCGUUUGCCGCUAUACAACAGAAUACAACAGUAUUCUUGGCUGUAUUGUUUAGUCAUAAAAAUGCCGGGUUGUUGUGCAUUUGGAUGCACGAAUAGACACGACGAGGGUUUCAAGCUGUACAGAUUCCCUUCAGAUAUCAACAGACGGACAAUUUGGGAGAAUAAAAUCAACCGUUAGGGCUGGAAGCCGAAGUCGUCUUCGAAGCUGUGCUAGGUAGGUCAAUUGGGAGUGUUCGGUCCCAUGUGUUGUAUUUGGUGUUGUGAAUUUCUGUUUAAUGUGAAUGAUCCUUGUGUAAAUCACCUCUGGGUGCAAAUAAAGUAAUCCAUGAUCUCGAGCAAAUUUACCAUGGCAACGCUUUGUCCGACAAACAAAAAAAAACAUGUCUUGCACAUCUUCAUGUCAAUGUCCUCAUUUACCCGAAGUUUCAUUUAAAAUGCUUCAAAACUGUAGAAGGAAUUCGCAAUGUUAGAUGUAAAGUGCAAUAAUGAAUUUUGGAAAAAUAAAAAUCGUAUUAUACUGUUUACAAUCUGGCCCAAUUUUAGAUUUAUUUUGAUCUGUAUGGUCGGGGAACGUCAUUUCGUGCACUUAAUCUAAACUGCAGUUAUUUUAUGGAUAUUACAUUGAAUACCUUAAUAUUCUUUAUACCACUUUUUACAUGCAUUAUCGUACUGUGCACGCUUGAAGUGGCCCCAACAUGGCCGCGUAAUCUCAGUUGUCCUAACUAUCAAGGGACUCCAGCUGCAAAGCCAAGUGAAACACACACCAAAUCCACACGCUACGAGACGCAAAACUGUCACACCGGCGCCACUUGAUGCUAAUGAGGCAGCUAAUGUCAAUGCUAGCUAUGCUAUGUUAGGACCUUUUUACAAGCUUAUUUGUCACUGAGCCACAUCAAUGUACAAGCAAUAAAUAGUUAUGACGUACCAGUUGACUCUCUGGAAGCAAUUACUUGUGCCGUGUCCACUUCUCCUAUGACCGACACCCACAUCUUAUGAAUACCAACACGUCAUAGAGAUAGGAAACGUGUCAUAAGUCUUUUAAAGAUAUCAGAGAUACGUGUCACGAGCAUCACUGUCCUGAGUCUUAAAGGGGUGUUAUGUGUCUUAAAGGGGUAUUACGUGUCAAGUGGCAUCAUUAUCACCAUCAGCUUUAAUACUAUUAGUGAUGUCAUCUGCUGUUUAUGAACAACAUAUUUUUCAGUCAUUCCAAAGCAGCAAUGAAAAGUGAAUGGAACUAAUCCACAGCAAGCCUUCCAAUCCUAAAUCAUAUCAAUCAUAUAUAACUACGAGUAUUAGAGCCACAUUGAAAAAAUAAAAAUAAGUCAUAACGUCACGAGAAUAAAGUCGUAAUAUUAGCUUUGACCAAGGUCACAUAAGUCCCCCCUUUUCAUAGCCAGCUGUCUCAGGCAAUACCUGUCAGUGACGGAGUAUUAAAGGAAUCUGAGAUUUUGAGAAUAAAGUCGAAAAUGUACGACAAUAAAGUAAAUCAUUUAUGAGAAAAAACGUGUAACUUUAUGUUACAGGCAUUGCCCAAGACAGCUAUGAAAAGGGGGGAGUUAUGUGACCUUUGGCUUCGGGCAUGCGGAGGGGGCGGCGUAAGGAUGGCGGAAGUGAGAUGAUUAUUUUCCCUAAUAAUAUUACCAGUUUAUUCUUUUGAGUCAAAAAUACAAUUUCAAUAAAAAAAUAACAUUUUGAAAAAUAAAAUGUGCCUAAUUUGAGCGACUUUAGCGAAAGACAACUCCCACUUGUUUGUGUGACAAGAGCGCUUUCUACGAUAAGCAGCAGAGGUCAGAAUGCUUGCUGGCUGCGAGGGGAUCAGAUACUUCUUUCACUCAGUCAAAUACAAAUUUAAUUCAUGUUAACCUUUAUUUCUUGUUUGUUUUUCCUCUUAAAAAUGGAUUCGUGUUCAAUAUCUUUGCAAAAGUUACAAAAUUAACAGGGCGUCUUUUCCUUUACAAAUGAACGUGCUGCAAAAACAUGGCGUGACAUAUUCGUACUGUACAUAGAGUACAUGCUGACGUGAAAUCUAGUACAUAGAAAUACUGUGGAGGAAAUUCACUUCAUAAAUCCAAACGGACAUCAGGAAGGGCUGGAGAAAAGUUCAGUUUGCAUAUUCACUCAUCUUCUUAGACCCUGAGUCAAAUGUCAGCGGAGGCUCACAAACAGGUCUGAUCCCCAAGCUGCCUGCCCCAUCUGAAGACCAACACAACUAACGAGCAUUUCCAAGUUUGUCGUCUUGGUCGUCCGGCAACGUUACCAUCUGGAAGACUCUCAGUGUGGAGCAGGAAUGCGAAGGUCUCUCAGGCAGGCCCGGGAUUCUACGCCAGUCAACUGUCUAGUCUACCAGGGCCCCGAGGGUCGGCCUCUGGUCCUCGGGGCUGCCGGAGCUGCCGGUGCUGUAGGAAGGAGGGCCGGUGGCGCUUUGCCUCUGGAGGAUUUGGAGGAUGGCUUGGAUGUCUGUCGUCAUCUGGGACUCCAGCCUGUUAGAUUAAAGACCACAACGUAGCAUCCAUCUUCAGGUAACGCAUCUCCUCGUCAGAGUCUUUGGACUGAUGAUACCGAGACCCUUAGGGGUACGCGACCACACAGCGCAAGAACUGUAGCUGUGACGCCACUAGGCCCCCCCCACCCCACCCAAACACUGACAUCAGUUGAGCGUUGCCGGUUCUGCUGAUCAAUUUGAAAGUCAUCCGCUAUCGACACUCCAGGUGCGUCUUGAAGACAUCCAAAAUGCUGCUGCUCGAGUACUGACCAGAACCAGAAGAGACCAUAGGUAGUAAUAUUUUUAAAUAUUGAAAACAUCCAUGUAUUUAAUCAGGUGGUAAUGCUGUGAUUAACUGCAUUUUAAAAAAUGAAUCAAUUGGCAGCCCUAACAUUUAUAUACAAUAUUUAACAAUCCAUAAUGUUGCCGUCCGCAUUUUUUUAAAUUAAUUGAUUGGCAGCACCACUACUACUAGUAAUUCUAUACAAAUAUGUUUAAAAUCCAGCACUUAAUCGGGGUAAUGAUGCGGUUACGUGCAUUUUUUUCAAAUUAACUGAUUGGCGGAAACCAAUAAUUAUAUCAAAAAUAUUUGAUGCUGCAAUUAAUUACAUUUUUUUUAAAUUAAUCGAUGGGCAGCACUAAUAAUUAUAAAAAAAAUUAAAAUCCAUGCAAUUUUUCACAUUUGUACAUUUCAUUGCAUUUUGUCAAAUUAACCAAUUGUGCAGUGCUAAUAAUUAUAUACAAAUAUGUUUAAAAAUCCAUGCAUUUAAUCAGGAGGUAACGAUGUGAUUAACUGAAUUAAAAAAAAAAAUAAAAAAAAUUGGUAGCCCUAAUAAUUAUAUACAAAUAUUUUUUAAUUGAUGCAAUUAAUUGCAUUUUUUUUAAUUAACCAAUUGGCAGCACUAAUAAUUAUAUUAAAAAAUAUUUUUAAAAUCCGUGCAAUUCAUCAGGAGGCAAUGUGAUUAAUUGCAUUUCUUAAAAUUAAUUGGCAGCCCUAAUAAUCACAUGAAUACAAUUUAAAUAUCCAUGCAUCUAAUCCGCGGGUAAUCAUGUGAUUGAUGAAAUAGUUUUAAUUGACUUGCAGCACUAAGAAUUAUAUCCAAAUCUUUUUUUUCAAUCCAUGCAAAUAAUCAGGAGGUAAUCAUUGUUAUUAUUAUGAAUAUUAUUAUUAUAUAAGGAAAAUUAUCAUUAAAAUGAUCAUUUUGAUUAUUAUUUACCUGGAAGAACUGCAAUAUUCACCAUUUUUUAAU